AAGAUACUCGCUCCGUCCGAAAAAAUUUGUCCCUCAAAUGAAUGUAUCUAGCACCAAGUUAGUAUUAGAUACAUCCAUUUAAAAGACAAAUUUGGGACAACCUUUUUCAGACGAAGGGAGUAACAC
rfam:Triticum aestivum genome assembly, contig: Triticum_aestivum_CS42_TGACv1_scaffold_320273_4BL